rnacentral:RNase_P_RNA from 1 species
UAAGUAGAAUAAAUGAUCGCGGCUGCACAGACGUAAGGGUGCAGGUGAGGAAAGUCCGGGCUUCGCAGGGCAGGAUGCCGGAUAACGUCCGGUGGAGGCGACUCCAAGGCCAGUGCAACAGAAAAGAAACCGCCGGAAGCUGCACUAAGCGGCUUUAAGUUUCGCGUAAGCGAUGCUGCACGGUAAGGGUGGAAUGGCAGUGUAAGAGACUACCGCCGCAGCGGUAACGAUGCGGGCUGUGUAAACCCCAUCCGAAGCAAGACCGAAAAGAAAGCGACAGAUUGGCCCGAUCUGCUUUCAGGUGGGUUGCUUGAGAUAUUCGGUAACGGAUAUCCUAGAUAGAUGAUCAUUCACGACAUAACCCGGCUUAUCGUUCUGCUUAGUUU